AUGAACGCUAGCUACAGGCUUAACACAUGCAAGUCGAGGGGCAGCAUGAACUUAGCUUGCUAAGUUUGAUGGCGACCGGCGCACGGGUGAGUAACACGUAUCCAACCUGCCGAUGACUCGGGGAUAGCCUUUCGAAAGAAAGAUUAAUACCCGAUGGCAUAGUUCUUCCGCAUGGUAGAACUAUUAAAGAAUUUCGGUCAUCGAUGGGGAUGCGUUCCAUUAGGUUGUUGGCGGGGUAACGGCCCACCAAGCCUUCGAUGGAUAGGGGUUCUGAGAGGAAGGUCCCCCACAUUGGAACUGAGACACGGUCCAAACUCCUACGGGAGGCAGCAGUGAGGAAUAUUGGUCAAUGGACGAGAGUCUGAACCAGCCAAGUAGCGUGAAGGAUGACUGCCCUAUGGGUUGUAAACUUCUUUUAUACGGGAAUAAAGUGAGGCACGUGUGCCUUUUUGUAUGUACCGUAUGAAUAAGGAUCGGCUAACUCCGUGCCAGCAGCCGCGGUAAUACGGAGGAUCCGAGCGUUAUCCGGAUUUAUUGGGUUUAAAGGGAGCGUAGGCGGACGCUUAAGUCAGUUGUGAAAGUUUGCGGCUCAACCGUAAAAUUGCAGUUGAUACUGGGUGUCUUGAGUACAGUAGAGGCAGGCGGAAUUCGUGGUGUAGCGGUGAAAUGCUUAGAUAUCACGAAGAACUCCGAUUGCGAAGGCAGCUUGCUGGACUGUAACUGACGCUGAUGCUCGAAAGUGUGGGUAUCAAACAGGAUUAGAUACCCUGGUAGUCCACGCCGUAAACGAUGAGUGCUAAGUGUUAGAGGGUUUCCGCCCUUUAGUGCUGAAGUUAACGCAUUAAGCACUCCGCCUGGGGAGUACGGCCGCAAGGCUGAAACUCAAAGGAAUUGACGGGGGCCCGCACAAGCGGUGGAGCAUGUGGUUUAAUUCGAAGCAACGCGAAGAACCUUACCAGGUCUUGACAUCCCGAUGCUAUUCUUAGAGAUAGGAAGUUACUUCGGUACAUCGGAGACAGGUGGUGCAUGGUUGUCGUCAGCUCGUGCCGUGAGGUGUCGGCUUAAGUGCCAUAACGAGCGCAACCCUUAUCGAUAGUUACCAUCAGGUUAUGCUGGGGACUCUGUCGAGACUGCCGUCGUAAGAUGUGAGGAAGGUGGGGAUGACGUCAAAUCAGCACGGCCCUUACGUCCGGGGCUACACACGUGUUACAAUGGGGGGUACAGAAGGCAGCUACACGGCGACGUGAUGCUAAUCCCGAAAGCCUCUCUCAGUUCGGAUUGGAGUCUGCAACCCGACUCCAUGAAGCUGGAUUCGCUAGUAAUCGCGCAUCAGCCACGGCGCGGUGAAUACGUUCCCGGGCCUUGUACACACCGCCCGUCAAGCCAUGAAAGCCGGGGGUACCUGAAGUGCGUAACCGCAAGGAGCGCCCUAGGGUAAAACUGGUGAUUGGGGCU
rnacentral:rRNA from 1 species